rnacentral:rRNA from 1 species
AACGAACGCUGGCGGCAUGCCUAACACAUGCAAGUCGAACGAGACCUUCGGGUCUAGUGGCGCACGGGUGCGUAACGCGUGGGAACCUGCCCUUAGGUUCGGAAUAACUCCCCGAAAGGGGUGCUAAUACCGGAUAAUGUCUUCGGACCAAAGAUUUAUCGCCGUUGGAUGGGCCCGCGUUGGAUUAGCUAGUUGGUAGGGUAAAAGCCUACCAAGGCGACGAUCCAUAGCUGGUCUGAGAGGAUGAUCAGCCACACUGGGACUGAGACACGGCCCAGACUCCUACGGGAGGCAGCAGUGGGGAAUAUUGGACAAUGGGCGAAAGCCUGAUCCAGCAAUGCCGCGUGAGUGAUGAAGGCCUUAGGGUUGUAAAGCUCUUUUACCCGGGAUGAUAAUGACAGUACCGGGAGAAUAAGCUCCGGCUAACUCCGUG